AGAGUCUAGUGCCAGCACAUACCCAGACUGUGUGAUCCCAUUUCUCGUUGGAAUGAACAUGGAAAACAACUAAGUUUCCAGAGAUGGCUUCAUCUUCUUGAUUCAUAUUUUGCCAUAUUUUAUGAAUUUCCAAUUUUUUUUAGACUUCAUAUAAUUGGCAUUUAAAUGAGACUCCAGAUCUGAAAUUCAUCCUCCUUGGACUGAACUGACCUCCGGAGGUUUUCCACAGAUUUGGACAAAUCACUCAGAGGACUCCAGUGGUCAUGAUUAAAUGUUGGCAGAUGUGGGAAUGGAUGCCAGGGCUUAGCAUUUUCAGGAAAUACGAGGCUAUUUUCUAACAUUGCUGCACCUUGUACAGUAGAGUCCUGGCAGUGUCACCAGCACACAUAGCUCAAAGCCAGUAGCAUCACUGCCACCAACAAGGACCUAAAUGAGACUGUACAAUAGUUGUCUUCUUGAACUAUAUUUCACAUGCCAUUUCCUUCAAUUUUGUCCGCCUAUGGGAUUCCCUUGGAUUGCUGAAUAGUUAUUCACAUGUAUACACAUAUCACAUUUUGUUUAUCAGUCCUGGAAAUGAUUCUUAACUAUGACAUGAAAACCAUAGCAACAAAAGGAGAAGAAAGUGAAGCAACGCCAGAGCAAAAAUCCCCUGUGCAGUCAUCAAGCAAGCAAAGGUUCCCGUCUUGAAGGGUUGAAAAGUCAUCCUGGUGCAAGUAUAAAUUCUAUGAGCCCUAGAUGGAAAAGAAGCCACUAUGACCUGUCACCUGAGGAAGGAGGCAACAAGGCUUGAUUUGUUGCAUCUUACACUUGACAGUUGUAAGCACUGACAUCCAGGUUCAUCUCAGAAAUUUUCCAAACGAACACACGAUAGGUGAACAUUCCUUACAACUUGGAAUAAAUCCUUGUUUGCUGUC
ensembl:lincRNA Gm43619 predicted gene 43619